CGCUGGAGGAGCUGCGCGGCCGGCGGAGAACUUUUUUCCUUUUCCCUUCGCUCUCCCUCUUCGGCUCGCGCCUAGGCCCUGGCCACUCUCCCGCGGCCUCAAGCAGCCAGCACAGGCUCCAAGUGACCGCGGGGCCACAGUGCGCGAGAGGAAAGGGGUUCGGAACGUGCGGGGUGGAGAGCUGGGACGCACAUGACGGCCCCUUUCUCCGCCCUGACUUAAUGCCCCAGCGCUCGCAGCCGCUGCUCUCUUUUUAAGAGAAUGGGGCAGGUGCAGGUUUGGUUGCUGCUGUUUUAGCCGCUCCAAGGAAAUUGUUUGGUGUAAGAUUGAUUUCCUAAGCGAAUGCGUGCGCGUUUCCAGCAACACAGGGCAACAUUUCUCGCCCCCAAAACCGGUGAAAUUAAACAGAUUUCCUUUUGAAAAGGCCCUUGGGGACGCUAGGGAGUCAGAUGUGACAACUAAUUUUAAAAUAACUGUUUAACGGGUGGUUAGGGAGCUCGCUUUCUCUCCACUACCAAGUUCACCUCUUCUUCCACCCCCUCUAAAGCAAGUGACUUGACGAUAGGUGACCCGUCCCCUAUUCCUCCCCUUAAUGCCAGUCUGGAAGCGCACUGUCUUGGAGAAGGGAUGUGUCUCCUCGCCCUCGAGAACCAGCGCGGAGAUCUUCUUUUGUGCCUCCGCUUGGCUGUGAACUUUCCCGCGCGAGGCCGGUUUCCUGUCUGUGUGUGGAAUGGAAGGACCGCGCCGGGGCACCACGAGGCACCCUGAGAACUCAGAGGACACAGAGGCUCCCCUCAAACAAAUUCCCUGCUGACCCUGGACACCCCUUGAAAGAGGGGGCAAGAGGCUGCCACAAGGGUCGGCUUAUAACUCCCAGCAAAGAUUCCCAGCAAACAAGUUCCGUUUGGGCUCUGCCUACCACUAAGCCUGGUGGUGGGGGAGCCAGGGUCCCUGAACAGGGCAAAGAUAAUCAGUUGUUCCCCUUUCUGGGGUCAGAGGCAAAGAAGCCUGAAGGGCUGGCGGUGGUGCUGGCUCUGGGUUUAUUGACUCUGUGAUUCUGUCCAGCUGUCCUGCGGGGAGUUCCAGAGCGCUCCCAAAGUGCAUGGGGAAACUGCAGAAGCAGGACUGGGGCACAGUACCAGAAGCUAUUUGUCUCUUAGAACCUGACGCCCCCUCCACUUACCUUACCGGAGACCCACAUCACUCAGGUCUCAGGACACCUGGUGGGAGAGACUGGUGAGAAUCGAAGGCAGGUUUCCUCUACUUACAACUUGUUUGAAAAUGGACAUAAAGAGGAGAACAGACACUCCAUCACCCAUACAGUGCCUCCAUUGUGUCAGAAAACCUAUCCCUUCCUAGGGCACCCUUGACACUCCCCUAGGUGGGCCUACAUAUUGUUCAGGACCUGUCCCCUGUACCCAAAUAAAUAUAAAUGAGUUCGUUUCUUUAAAAGAAAUAUUACCAGGCUUAUAAGAGCCACGCUAGUGAAAGAAAAAAAAAAUUUUUUAAAAAAAGUAAAAAAGAAAAGAAAUAUUAAAUAUUAAACUUUUCCCAUUCAGAAUCCACCUAAUUUCAUUAAUGUCUCUUGCCAGGAGCCAUAACCCCCUCCCCACCUGUUUUCCCUUCUUUUUUUUUUGUGGCUUAAAAUUGCAUUUUAGGAGGGUUGAUAUAAUGUUGUUCAUGUCAGCAAGUCUCCCUGCCCCACCCACACCCCACCGCCCUAUAUGGGAUUAUAGUUGGAAACCACACACACACACAGAGAAAAUCUUUUAAGAUUUUUUUCUGCUAUUCUUCCUGACUAGAAGAGUUGACAAGACAUAGACACAUUAAGUUGCAUAAAAUACAGUAGCGUGAUCAGCCUAAAUGCAUCUCAUUUGCACUGUUUGUAGCCAGGGGUGGGGGCUUGUGCCACUCAUUGCCUCCUCCUCCUCCUCCCAGGGCAGAUCAGCCGGCUGGAAUUUCAGAGCAGGCCCCAAGGCAGCAGCCAUUUGGGAGGUGGAAGCCCCAGCCCACCCCAGGCCAGCGCGGGUGGGAGAGUGGAUAGGGAAUGUGUCUGGAGGUCUGGCCUGAGGGCUUGAACCAGCUUUGGCAGACCUGGGCUCUGGGAGGCUUGGCGGGUGGGUGCCCGCAGCUGGAAGCUGGAGGCCUGCAGCGAUACUUCUGAGCUUCUCUUGAGUUGAGUUCAAGAAAGGGGACACCAAGAAGUAGGGGAACAGUCACUGACUAUAUUUUACAUCCACGUCCACCCUUUCCCAGAGUUGUGUUCUCACCAUUCACUUUGUCGGUGGAGGAGAAACACUUCUGCCUGAUGGGUUUCUGCACCUGCUCCUAGCCCUGAACUCGGGCCCUGAGCUGCUCACUGCCGCCUGCUCUGCGCUGAGCCCCACUCCUGAGCCCGGGAGGUGCCGGAGCAGCGCCUCUCCCACAACUCCGAGAGGCCCGUGGGAGCGGCGCCGGAGCCUUCAAAACCCCGUAGGGGCGUGGGGGUGAAGUUGGGGAUCAUCCGGGUGAUUUUUUUUUACUAUUUCCCAAUCAUUCUCCCGCGUUUAUGUCAACUCUUCCAGUCUCCCGGUGUUGGGGCGCCAAUCCUUUCCCUCCAAUUCCUACCCACCAGCUGGAGGUCGGGUCCCAGGG
ensembl:lincRNA